CUAAUAAUGAAAUACAGGAAAUCUCUCCUUUAAAUCAAAAGGAUUAAUGUAAUUUUCCCCCUUAGCUGUGCUCUGGUCAAGGGUGUGAGGGUCUCUCUUGCUUUGGGUUCUCACUACUAAUUGCCUAGGUUGGAAUUCUUGACCUAAGGUAUAUAGAUGAGGAGAGGGAGGUUAUGGUUUUUAUUUAUAAUAUAGUGUCUCCUAACUCCUACAUCUUGGACACUCGCCCUUGUAAGUUGCCCUCUGUCAGAGUCUCUUCCUGUGUAAAUUGAUAUGCUGCCUUUUGGGUUUUAAAUAACACUACAAAGAAUUUCUGUGGGUCAUCUCCAUGAAUCUGUCUUUUGGAGUCCCUCCUUGCAUACAAAAUAGUAAAGAAUCUAAUUGGAGGAAUUGAACAACCAUUUCAUCUUCACAUUUUAAAUGCUGAGGGAAUUUUUAACUUUAAGAUUAGGAAAAAUGAGGAGUUAGGUUUGGCUUCUCCCUCCUCCCCAUUUUGUAUGUGGAUCUCCUAGAUUUAUAAAGCAAAUUACUUUGAAAUCAUAUGACAAGACAAAUGAAAUUAGCUAUACAAUGGAAGCAUUGCUGCCCUCUUACUGAGAAAAAAAAAAUUGAACCAUUAUAGACAUUUCAUCCGUAUCAGGCUAACAAUGCUAUGAGUUCAUUAUGCCUCUGCCCUGUUAAUUGGUUAAAUUCUGGAGUUCUUAAAAUUUUUUUUGGCAAUUUGGUGACGCCUAUGAAGCCUACUCCAAAUAAUGUUUUUAAGUAUACAAAAUAAAAUACAUAGGAUUAUUAAAAAAAUAAUUAUGUUGAAAUUUUAGCUAACAGAUUGUUUUUUAGAAAAAUCAGCUUCUGUGCCCCAGGAUAAGAAUCCAUUCUUUAUUUCAAUCUUAUUUUGGACAGGGUAGAUCAUGAUUUAUUCAUUAAUACAACUUCAGUUAGAUGUUUAGAAAUAACCUGAGAUUUAAACAGAAUCUAUAUAGGACAGAACUCAUGUUUCCAUGCUUGGCCCAUUUCUUUCCAAGUGUUCUAUAUUCCUAAAGACUUAGUUUCAGCAGUUCAGCAUAGUUCUUGGGUUUUUUUUUUUUUGUUGUUGUUUUGGUUUGGUUUGGUUUGGUUUGGUUUUUUACAAAUAAUGAAGGAGAUUGAUGUAAACUUUUUGUAGUGACUCAAAAAAAAAUAGUGGCUAUAUCAGCAGUCUGCUUGUAUACAAUAACUUCUGUCUGGACAAAGAUUUGGAAUGAUUCUAAGAGGGCAGAAUUUAUGAAUUUGUGCAAGACUGUAUGAAAGUUUAUUAAUAUUCAAGAAGAAUUCUAAGUGCCGUGAGAAAACAAGAUAAGGAUUCAUUCAGUCCAUGUACGUGCAUGGAAAAUUUUUUUUGUUGUUGUCAGUGAGUCGGAAAUGAUACAACACUAGAGACAUGUUGUUUGUUUGUUUUAAUUCAAGGUAAUUUUUAUUUUCUGCAAGACUUCACAAUACUAGUCAAUUAUUUUUCCUUUAAAAUCUUACUGUAAAUAAUUAUCACAGUGUCACCAUAAAGACUUGCUUUUGUUAUUGUAUUAAAUAGUAUCUAUGCAUUGCU
ensembl:lncRNA